rnacentral:lncRNA from 1 species
UGGUAAAGCAGCGGCCAGGGGGAGCCGUGAGUGAGGCGCUGCCUCUCCCGCUGAAGCGGGUUCCAAGGCCACCGUGAGGGGGACCAUCCAUCCAGGGGGACAUCUGGAACAUCCACCCUCUUUCUCCCACUCACGGCCAUGCCACCACCUAGUGCCUCACUGACAUUUCCUCUCAAUCUCAGGAUAAUCACAUCGAUGUAACACUUGGCAGGAGAGUACUGGGCAGGCUGCAAAUGUCUGUGUUAAAACAGCUCUGCUGGGCUAAGACAGGACAGAAGCAGACAGCAGGUGGAUGAGACACAAUUUCCUAUCCAGCAGAACCUGCAGCAAGCUCCACAGCACCCUCCAUGGGCUCAGUCUUGCUCCCGGGAAGAUGGUUAAUUCCAUCAGGUCCUUCUGGCCGGCAGCAGGAAGAGUGGCCCUGUGUGUGCCAGGCCCUGCAGUCUCUCCUCUCAGCUGGUGUCUCCAGUGAGGGACCUGAGUCAUCGCACACAUGAGCCUGUGCUCAGCCUGCACAUCUCCCGCCUCCCACCAGCUGCUCCUCAACUGCCAGGGCCAGACUGUGGCAAAAUCUCACUCCUCUGCCGAUGCUGGGGUUUCCCUCGUGUCUGGGAGGUGGUGUGCUUGGUGGCCUGAGCACUGCAGUGAAUCCAUGUUUCCCUCCCAGCACCCUGUUCUGUCCUCCAACUUGGCCGACAGCUCUGGCCAGGGACGCAGCCCAGCUGGUGCCCACCCCGCACUCUGUCCAUUUCAUAAGAGCCCUUGGUUUCCUCACUUCCCUCAGAUUUUGCCAAGAGAAUGGUCCUGGUGUGGCCCAGAAAGGCCAGCGGGGUGCAGCCUGGGACUGAAAGCAGAGGCGGCUCUGGUGGGGAAAAAGUAGCUCUCCCAGCCUAGCCCUACUGGUGGGCGGCACCUCCUGGCUCCAGGCCAUCUUUUGUCCCAGUCCUAGGUAAGAAAAACACAAACAAAAGCCAGUCCCAUGGCACUCGAGAAGCAGGAGGCCGUUCCCUGACAGCAACAUGCUGUGUGCACAGACACACGGGUGGACAGGAGGCAGAGCUCGGGGUUGCUGCGGAGCGGGCAGGACACUGGAGCGGCAGGCAGUGCGGACCCGCCGGGCAGCCGUGCACGGUUGUCGUCCUCAGCGGCAGGAGCCAGUUUGUUGCUCAGGGCCUUGUCUUUUUACAAAGAGCCCCAGGCCCCGGGGGCUUCUCUGGGUGCCUCUUUGCUGCCAUGUCUGCACGCGGGCGGAGAGCAGACCAGGCUACCGACCCUCUCGCUUUGCUGUCUUCACGUGGAAAAGCCAGUGUCGUAGCCCCAAAGGAGGGGAAACUGUAUUGAUUUGGGGAGCCUCUAUGUUGAUUUCAAAACAGAUUGUCUCCUGUGUUCUCAAAGACUGGAAGCGAACCCCACAACCGCCUUAGGCCACAAAAGCUUUAUCCUUUCUAAUUAGCAUCCCUGUGACCUGCUCUGCGCCCUGCAGAUAUUUUGCUCAGCCAGCCAGAAGGAGGGAGGCCAGACACCAGCCCCCACAGACCUGCGGCUGCGACCCCCUGCCUGGGGACGAUGGGGUCGGGGUCCAGUAGCUGCCCCAGAAACAAGUGGGGCUGCAGGAGGCUGAUGGUGAGCUUGGAGGUUGGCAGAAUUCUAAAUCUGGGCACUGCAGGGUCCCCACAGGUCACGACCCUACUCUGCUCCACCCAGGCUCCGGAGGACCUGAGCAGGAACCUCUGCAGGGGGGGCCCGGGGCUCCCUGUCCUCUCAGCAGCCGGCAGUGCUCCCUGACAGCCCGGGCCUCUCCCUCCAGUAGUUCGGUAGUUUGCUGUCACCAACAUGGCUGGGCCUGGGACAGGCUCCUCCUCUCCCUCCAGAAGCCAGGCAGUCCCUCCUGCCUCAGUUUCUCAGACUAGGCCGCCUCUCCCAUCGCGAGACACUGAAGACCCUCAGCUGUUUCCAUCUGCCCAGUCUGACUGCUGGAUCGCCCUCUGUGUGCGUUGGUUUGCUGUGUUCUUGCUACUCGCCCUUGGAUAAGAUUUCUUCUCUACUCAUGAAGCUGCGUGUCCUGGAGGGCAGGGCCGCACCUCACAUGCAUGUUGCCCACAUAGCUCAGCAACAGAUGCUCUCACGCUUGUUAAAAGUAAAACCGGGCCAGGCGCAGUGGCUCACGCCUGUAAUCCCAGCACUUUGGGAGGCCGAGGUGGGUGGAUCACCUGAAGUCAGGAGUUUGAGACUAGCCUGACCAACAUGGAGAAAUCCCGUCUCUACUAAAAAUACAAAAAAUUAGCUGGGCGUGGUGGCACAUGCCUGUAAUCCCAGCUACUCGGAGGCAGGAGAAUUGCUUGAACCCAGGAGGCGGAGGUUGCGGUGAGCCAAGAUCACGCCAUAGCAAUUGCACUCCGGCCUGGGCAACAAGAGCAAAACUCUGUCAAAAAGA